GAGACUUUCUGGUCUAUUCCGCAAGGGGAGUGAGUGUCAGAAUGCAAGUGUUGGAGGCUGUGUGGGAGGAUGCCCAGGGCAGGCAUCACCUGAACCAAUGAAGACAUGAACACGUUUCAGUGGUCUGGGCUACUGAUUGGAGAUCCAGAGAAACCGCUGCUCAGGGAAAAAUGACCCCAGACUUGAAGUCAUCUUACUGUGCUGGAGAGAAUAUAUGACUACCUGCCUCAAGCUCCUGCUACCAUCGUUUAACUGUCGUGAUGGAAUGUACGCAAAAACCGUGAACCAAAAUUACGUCUGCCUUCCUUCAAUUGCUUUUGUCGGGGAUUUUCUCGUAGCAACAAUACAAGAAACUAAUGGAACCUGUCAUUUUAAUAGAUGUAUAGUGGUUUCUUAUAUUUAAACAAGCAUUUACUUAAUGGCA